rnacentral:rRNA from 1 species
CCUACGGGGAGCAGCAGUGAGGAAUAUUGGUCAAUGGACGAGAGUCUGAACCAGCCAAGUAGCGUGAAGGAUGACUGCCCUAUGGGUUGUAAACUUCUUUUAUAUGGGAAUAAAAUGUUCCACGUGUGGGAUUUUGUAUGUACCAUAUGAAUAAGGAUUGGCUAACUCCGUGCCAGCAGCCGCGGUAAUACGGAGGAUCCGAGCGUUAUCCGGAUUUAUUGGGUUUAAAGGGAGCGUAGGUGGAUUGUUAAGUCAGUUGUGAAAGUUUGCGGCUCAACCGUAAAAUUGCAGUUGAAACUGGCAGUCUUGAGUACAGUAGAGGUGGGCGGAAUUCGUGGUGUAGCGGUGAAAUGCUUAGAUAUCACGAAGAACUCCGAUUGCGAAGGCAGUUCACUGGACUGCAACUGACACUGAGGCUCGAAAGUGUGGGUAUCAAACAGGAUUAGAUACCCUGGUAGUC